CACCCACCCCACACCCAUCCCGUCCCCACGACGCCUCGCGUUUGCCAAGACCCUCCUGCCCCGGUGCCCGCUCCCCGCCGCCCGAGAGCUCCCGGUGCCUCCGACGUCGGUAUCCGCCGCCCGGCGCCCGUCCUCCCCGAGCCUUCUCGCGGGUGUCCCCGGGAGCCCCUCGCCGGCCCUGGGAGCCUGCGGAGCGCGUCGGCCCCUGCGGACCCUCCGGCGAAGCCUGGCACCGGGAAGCGGCGAAGUCGGGGGCUCCUGCGGGACCCGGGAGAGAGGUGCCGCCUCCGCGCCGCGCCAGCUCGGGCCGGGGCGCCCGCUGCGGGGCUCUGAAAAACCUGCGGGCACCUUCCAUGGAUCUGUGACAAGUGUGCAGCUCUCCGGGCAGCCCUGGACUAGAGUGAGUAACCCCAGCAUGGAAAGGGCAGAAAGGCCAGGAGCCUGCCUGCCGUCACCUCUCCCUUUACCGCUCUCUUCUGCGCCUUCACACGGCUCCAGAGGGUACCCUCCCCCUGGAGUCCGUGCAUCCUCUAGCCCUUUCCUCCCUGUAGAUGGCAACAGUUGGUGUUCUUUGUCUAGGUCAUCAUUUACUUUUAAUAAUAAAAGCUAUUAUUUGCUUGGUGAAAAGAAGUCCGGCCAACCCAGAAGCACACUGUGUAGAAAGGGCAAGUUACAGGAGUUACUACAUGCCCUGCCCCCCAGACUCCUGUCAUGACUCCAGUCCAGUAUCAGUCCUCUUUUUACUGAUGAAUAAACUGAGUUACAGAUUUAUUAAGCGUUUGGUC
rnacentral:lncRNA from 12 species